AGAGUUUGAUCCUGGCUCAGAACGAACGCUGGCGGCAGGCCUAACACAUGCAAGUCGAGCGCCCGCAAGGGAGCGGCAGACGGGUGAGUAACGCGUGGGAACGUGCCCUUUGGUUCGGAAUAUUCCCGGGAAACUGGGAGCAAAACCGGAUAAGCCCUUCGGGGGAAAGUUUACGCCAAAGGAUCGGCCCGCGUUAGAUUAGGUAGUUGGUGGGGUAACGGCCUACCAAGCCUACGAUCUAUAGCUGAUCUGAGAGGAUGAUCAGCCACACUGGGACUGAGACACGGCCCAGACUCCUACGGGAGGCAGCAAUGGGGAAUCUUGGACAAUGGGCGCAAGCCUGAUCCAGCCAUGCCGCGUGGAUGACUGAAGGCCCUAGGGUUGUAAAGUCCUUUCGACGGGGACGAUAAUGACGGUACCCGUAGAAGAAGCCCCGGCUAACUUCGUGCCAGCAGCCGCGGUAAUACGAAGGGGGCUAGCGUUGUUCGGAUUUACUGGGCGUAAAGGGCGCGUAGGCGGAUUUUUAAGUCGGGGGUGAAAUCCCGGAGCUCAACUCCGGAACUGCCUUCGAUACUGGAAGUCUGGAGCACGGUAGAGGUGAGUGGAAUUCCGAGUGUAGCGGUGAAAUGCGUAGA
rnacentral:rRNA from 1 species